UUAUUGGAGCGGCUUCACCAAAUCGUCGAUUAAGUGCAAAUCAAUCCCCGGCCAUUUAUCACGGCCUUCAUCCGUCUUGCGAGGUUUGAGGUGUAAUGGUGGAGGUGCCUUUUGCAUGGAAGACAUGGGUUGUCUUUCUUGGGCUGCACUAAGUGCUAUCAGGGAUGUGCAACAACGAGGUCAGUUGAUGGACUGUGUUCAAAAGCAGAGCAACAGCACCUGUGGAUAUUUGCAGCCACCCCACAGCACACCUGCAUGGUCAGCACACCUGUAUGGUCAGCACACCUGUAUGGUCAGCACACUGCUUCACCCUGCAGUACAGGAUGGUCACUGAUGGCUGCAGGUCAGUGCCAGCAUUCUCCUUGCAGACACUUGGUAUGUGAGUGAGUUUUCCACUCUAAGCAGCAUCACAAAGAAGAGGGGAAUGGCCAGCAAAGAAGGGCUGGUGGAGAUGGCCAUCUCUAAGCCACAAUCUUGCUUGAGAAGCCCUUCCAAUAACCUCCAGUCCUGCAGGAAGGAAGUUGGGUAAAUGCUGUGAUCUGUGGGAAAUGAGGUAAGCCUGCUCAGAAAAACACGUGAGCCUGAAGGCAGCACUUGGAGAUAUAAAGAAAACAACACAGAAAGGGGGUUCAUUUCCUCAGGCCUUUGAUAUCCCAAUAUCAAAUCAUAAGCAUGAGCUGAGAGCUGGGGAAUUAAAAUGGCCAAGUGGCUUAAAGAAGCGAGCACAGUAUAUAUGUGUGUGUGUGUAUAUCUAUCUAUCUAUAUGUAUAUAUAUGUAUAUAUCAGUCCAUUUUCACAGCUGUAAUCUCUCCAUGUUUCAACACAAACUGAAUUGAAAGCUAUCGUGUGUCUGUUCCUUCCCAGAGUCAUAAUUAGUUAAAUGCAGUUUUCUUGCAGAAAGGAAAUCUGGGCCUUAAUCAGGCUUUGGUUUGUUGUGUUUUCCUGGUGAUGUCAGCAAUCUGACUGCAGUUGAGAGAAGCAGCUGAAUGUAUUACUGAACUUAUCAGAAACUGUCAUAUUUCAAGCCAAGAAGGACCUGCUACCUCCUCCCGUCAUUCAGGUUACAGCAAGAAAAGGAUUGUCCUGAAACCCUUCUGGAAAGUAACUGAUGGAGUGUCAGUAUGAAAUAUUGAAGGUUGUGUGGAGAAUCUGCCUUGCAUUUUGCUGGACAGAAGGGUUCCUUGCUGAUGCUUGCAAGAUGUCCAGGUUUCCAAAGAGCUGCAGCAUCUCAGUGCCCUCAGAGCCACACAGGACUUCAUCUCCUACCAUCCUACACAAGAAGAAUUUCAGGGCCCUGCUUUGCCAACCUCACACAGUGCACUCACAGAAUGACCCGGGUUGGAAGGGACCUCGAUGAUCAUGAAGCUCCAACGCACAGCCCGAACAGACGCGAUGUCCACAAGGCACAAAGCUCCAGGAGCUUCUCCCCACCCACCAUCAAGGCGCUGCUCCGCACUGAGCGCACAUUCUCUCUGGGACGGACGGUACCGAACCCUCAGCGGACACAAAGUUGUCCCGACCCCGGGGUCUGGGGUUGGAGAAGCGCUCGGAGCCGCCGUAACGCUGGGACAGCAGCUCCGCCUGGCGGGGCGCGACCGUACGCGCAAUGCCAACCCCGGGGACGGCGGGGAUGCGGAGCCAGAGGCUGAACCUGCUGGUCUGAGAGAUGCCGUGAGGGAAAGAGCAAAGAAGGAAAGGAAAAAUUGCACCGAUGCCUUCCAUGCACCCCAAAGAAAAGGAAGGUUUCUGACAUAGCAAACCCCUUGGUGCUGAGGGCGGUGCCGUGGUGGCUUUGUGUGCUGACUGAUGCAGGGAGAGCUGCAGGACCCCGGAGCUGGUACAGCACCACUGCAGGAGCGGGAAUUGGUUCUGCUUUCUGCUACAUGGAAUUUGGUUUGAUUAGUCUAAUCUACUGCAUUAUUAUUUACCACAUGCAAAUCUCUUCAAACUGAUUAAAGCUGACAUUUAAGCUAAGAGAUGAGAUCUGGAAAGGAGUAAUAAGGAAAAAUUAUUACCCCAGCUUUUACAGUGUAGAUUUGUUGGGUAGAUCGAUUACAUCUAAAAUUUAAGGUUGAGACUUGACCCUAAAUCUCCUUUAAGGAAAAGGGAAGAAUUAAAUCCUCAGUUUGUUAUAUUUCAGCUUUACAGCAGAACCCACAGGGGUUUGUACAGGUGCUGCUGGUUUGGAAUGGUGGGUUUGGAUAUCAGAGGUAACCAGCAAUGAAUGCUAGCUUGCAAAACCUCACAUCAACAUGUUUAUUGUCUUUAAGACCUGGAAUUAUGGCUAUAAGACCUUCCUAAGGCUAUGGAGUUAUACAGAGCAAGCAGUUGUUUCUGGGCUGCUGAAGUAGAACUGUGAGCUGUAUACUGGAUAUAUCUUCAGCACACACAGGUUUGUGCCUGUAUAUUUCUGCUGCUGACCAAAUGGUGUAAGAGCUCUACGUUUAUACAGUGCAAGCCCUGAUUCAAAUAAAAGGUGAGAAAAAGGGGAAGCUGCCCUCUAUGAAGUAUAUUUUACAGUGAGGGUGUUGGGGAAGAGG